UACGGGGGGAGCAAGCGUUGUUCGGAUUUACUGGGCGUAAAGGGCGCGUAGGCGGUCGUGACAAGUCACUUGUGAAAUCUCCGGGCUUAACUCGGAACGGUCAAGUGAUACUGUCGGACUAGAGUACAGAAGGGGCAACUGGAAUUCUCGGUGUAGCGGUGAAAUGCGUAGAUAUCGAGAGGAACACCUGCGGCGAAGGCGGGUCUCUGGGCAGUAACUGACGCUGAGGAGCGAAAGCGUGGGGAGCAAACAGG
rnacentral:rRNA from 1 species